GCGGUUUCUCACACUCGACUUAAGAAUGGUAUUUUGAUAAAAUCUUUUAAAAAAUAAUAACUUCAAGAUUCAAACUCCUAAUUUUGCAGAUAAAAUUCGUUUGAAAAUCAGCUUCAGCUAACUCCAUGUCACUGACUUGACCAAUUAUUUGUUGUUGUUUUAUAAAUUAUUCUAAGGGAUUAUCAAUGUUUGAAUGUCACUUUUUUGCAAUACAAGUCAGACAUUUGCCUGUUGAAUUAUAUAAACAAAGUGCCUGUGU
rnacentral:misc_RNA from 1 species